AUAUGGAUACCUGAGGAAGAAAUCAUCAAACAUCCCCCUAGAAAAGGAAGAAAUCAUCAAACAUCCCCCUAGACACAAACCCUGCAUCAUCUACCACGUCCGCAAACCUCAACCUCCUUCCUUCUGAAGUCACCACCUCCUGGGCCUGUAAACACUCCACAAUCUUACGACUACGCUCCUUAUGCCUCUCUGCGCAAAGUGACCUCAAAAUGGCGGGAGACGCCCUUUCCGAUAAAAGAGGGGAGGCCAUGAUCAAGCUGAUGGCUAGAAGAGAAAUUUUGGUGGGGAGA
rnacentral:lncRNA from 1 species